GAUGAACGCUGGCGGCGUGCCUAAUACAUGCAAGUCGAGCGAACAGACGAGGAGCUUGCUCCUCUGACGUUAGCGGCGGACGGGUGAGUAACACGUGGAUAACCUACCUAUAAGACUGGGAUAACUUCGGGAAACCGGAGCUAAUACCGGAUAAUAUAUUGAACCGCAUGGUUCAAUAGUGAAAGACGGUUUUGCUGUCACUUAUAGAUGGAUCCGCGCCGCAUUAGCUAGUUGGUAAGGUAACGGCUUACCAAGGCAACGAUGCGUAGCCGACCUGAGAGGGUGGUCGGCCACACUAGAACUGAGACACGGUCCAGACUCCUACGGGAGGCAGCAGUAGGGAAUCUGCCGCAAUGGGCGAAAGCCUGACGGAGCAACGCCGCGUGAGUGAUGAAGGUCUUCGGAUCGUAAAACUCUGUUAUUGGGGAAGAACAAAUGUGUAAGUAACUAUGCACGUCUUGACGGUACCUAAUCAGAAAGCCACGGCUAACUACGUG
rnacentral:rRNA from 1 species